GUGCAGAAUGCGCCCCAUUGGUCAAUAACGGAAGUGCUUCAGCAGGCGUACAGAGAAUCGGUUGCUGCAUCCAACCAGAACACAGCUCGUUGAAUACCAGCGGAAUAGAUGGGGUUGAGACAGCAUGAAGUGACUGUCUUCAUACAUAUGGAUCAACAGCUGAGGAAGAGACAGAUACCAUCUUGCUGCUGUAGUGUACCACUAGUUACUGCCAUCUACAGUGGCACAAGCACCUGUUGAAAGCCCAUGGAGGUGCUUGACCUACAUCAUCACUGAACCACUCUCCAGCCAGAAUAACAUGGUGAAAGAUGUUGUCCAUACCAUCCAGAUAAUGGUUGCUCUGUACCUUAAUUCCAACAUUGUUCAUUAAAACUUGGGAGUUUCAAAAUCAGAAAUAUCAAAUUGGUCAUACAUUGAGGAACUAGGGGUCUAUGGCAUCUCAACUCAGAAUAAAUAUGAACAUCUGAGAAUAUUCAGUCUCUGUUAUCUGCCAAAACAGAUUCAGUGAAGAGUAAACUGUGGCAAAAACAUCUACAACUCAAAAUCAGAGGAUUUUAUCUUCACCUUUUUUCAACUGAAGCAUCUUCACAGGAUUAAAAGUGAUGAACC